CUCGCCGCCCACCUGCCGGCCUCCUGCACCCCUUGCCCAUUCCCCAUCGUCCAUGGUCGCAUAUCUCUCUGGACUUCGUGACCGGUCUUCCUGCGUCCAAGGGCCACACUGUCGUCCUCACCCUUGUAGAUCGGUUUAUGCGCCUACGGGUACCAACCACCCCUGUUCCCCGAACUGGAGAAGGAGUCUUCCUGCCGCUCGGUUCCUGCAAGCCCUGAUCCGGCGUCGUCGACGCACCUGGACCCGGGCUCGCACUGCUUUCUCUAGUGCUGCAGGUCGCCACGCUGCCGACGCCAACAAGCGCCAUUCGCCGGCCCCAGCCUACCGGCCUGGCCAGAAGGUCUAGCCCUCCACCCGAGACCUUCUCCUUAAGCUGGAGAGUCGCAAGCUAGCCCCCAGGUUUAUAGGACCCUUCCCCAUCGCUCGUGUCAUUAACCCGGCGGCGGUACGCCUUCGGCUCCCUAGGGCCUUGAGGAUCCACCCGACGAUCCACGUCUCCCGACUCAAGCCCGUUCAGGAGAGCCCACUUCAGGAGAGCCCACUCCUCCCGUUCCGCCUCCGCCUCCCCCUCAGCUCGUCGACGGCGGCCCGGUAUACACUGUCCUGCGCCUCCUUUGCUCCCGCCGCAUUCGACGUGGGGUUCAGUAUCUGGUGGACUGGGAGGGGUACGGCCCGGAGGAGCGCUCCUGGAGAUGAAGUGAUGAAAGGACAUAUUUUUGGUAGUGUAUGGGGGAGAAAGAUACCAAAGGAGAAAUGUUGCUGUUCUAAGUGAUAAUGUUGAGUGUUGGCAACGGUCAAAUUUGGUCAACAAAGCCAUUGUGACUUUUUUUUAAGUGUAUUAUUCACAUUGACAUUUAGAUAGCCCACAUUCUUCACUCCAG
ensembl:lncRNA